rnacentral:lncRNA from 1 species
UGUGAUUGGAGGCAACACAAGAGAAAAAGAUCUUUAAAAAGAGGACCAAAAGGCAAAAUCAGAAAUUCAGAUUCAGACAUUUGGAUGAGUUCAGAUACAGUCAGUCACCCUGGGCUUGGUGUAAAGGAUGAGCCACUCAGAGCUGAAGGGAAGAUGGGCAUUCAGAGAUUCAGAAAUUUGUUCAGACAUUUGGAUACUGACUCAGAGAAUCGAUUGGAAUACAGACACCCAGACUUCUUUUAGACUUACCAUUGGGGCAUCAGACCUACCCUCCCAGCUUCAAGGAUUUCAAGAAGCUUACUGACAAUGAAUAAUGUGCUGUGGAAUAAUUUACCACCUCCAAAACCUCAUUAUCAUCACUUUGGCCUAGUGGGAAGGGAAUUGGGCUAAAAAUCAAAUUACCAGUGUUCCUCUUUUAUUAUGGUCAUUCCUUAUAAUUCAGAGGAACUUGGUAUUUUCAGACAUGUGCCUUGGAAUUUAAUAGAACAGAUUUCAAAGAAACCAGAGAAAAUUUGUGUGGAAACACAACUAGAGACUCUAGAAAAAAAGAUGGCUCCAAGAAGUUGGUAUGAAACAAAACUAAUUAAGAACUUUCUACCUCCUCUUUGUAUAUAGUGAAUUCUUACCUGCUGUGCUGAAAUAAACAGU